AUUUGUCUAGUAUAAAAAUUAUUUUAGAUUUCCAUUCUAAGGAUCCGCUGAUUAGUGGGACAAAUA
rnacentral:tRNA from 1 species